GGCGAGUGGCGGACGGGUGAGUAAUGCAUGGGAAUCUGCCCGGUAGUGGGGGACAACCAGAGGAAACUCUGGCUAAUACCGCAUAAGUCCUACGGGAGAAAGUGGGGGACCUUCGGGCCUCACGCUACUGGAUGAGCCCAUGUCGGAUUAGCUUGUUGGUGAGGUAAAGGCUCACCAAGGCGACGAUCCGUAGCCGGCCUGAGAGGGUGAACGGCCACACCGGGACUGAGACACGGCCCGG
rnacentral:rRNA from 1 species